UACAGAGGUUUCAAGCGUUGUUCGGAUUCAUUGGGCGUAAAGGGCGCGUAGGCGGCGCGGUAAGUCGGGUGUGAAAUCUUGGAGCUUAACUCCGAAACUGCAUUCGAUACUGCCGUGCUUGAGGACUGGAGAGGAGACUGGAAUUUACGGUGUAGCGGUGAAAUGCGUAGAUAUCGUAAGGAAGACCAGUGGCGAAGGCGGGUCUCUGGACAGUACCUGACGCUGAGGCACGAAGGCCAGGGGAGCAAACGGG
rnacentral:rRNA from 1 species